GGUCAAUCUUAAAUGCUGUAUAGGAGGAUCUCAUUGAGAAGAUAUCAUUUGAGCAAAGAUGUAAAGCAAGGGAGGGAAUGAGUCAGUGGCUACAUAGCGAGAGUGUCCUAGGCAGAGGAAACAGCUUCUACAAAAGCCCUGAAGCAAGAGAAUGUUUGAAGUGUUCAAGAAUAAACAGGAGAUGCAGAAUGAAUGGAAUUGAGAGUGAGUGAGGCAGUCGGAUACAAGAGAGACUAAUAUGGGGCAGCACUGAAGACUGCUGACAGCAGCCACAUGAGUGAGCUCAGAGUGGACACAACAGCCCCUUCAGAGGCUGCAGGGAUGGCAGACAGCCUGACUGCAAUGUCGUGAAAGAUGCUGAGGCAGAACCAUGCAGCAAAGUCAUUCCCAGAUUCCUGACUCUCAGAAAAUUGUUACUUUAGAGAAGUCUGAACUUGCCCUUUUUUUCAUCUUUAUGCCUGAGGAAAUUUUUC
rnacentral:lncRNA from 1 species